rnacentral:tRNA from 1 species
GGCUCCGUGUCCGAGUGGCUAGGUGCAGGUCUGCAAAACCUGCUACGACGGUCCGAUUCCGUCCGGAGCCUCCG